rnacentral:rRNA from 1 species
AUUGAACGCUGGCGGAAUGCUUUACACAUGCAAGUCGAACGGUAGAGGGGGCAACCCCUUGAGAGUGGCGAACGGGUGAGUAAUACAUCGGAACAUGCCCAGUCGUGGGGGAUAACGUAGCGAAAGCUACGCUAAUACCGCAUACGAUCUAUGGAUGAAAGCGGGGGACCGAAAGGCCUCGCGCGAUUGGAGUGGCCGAUGGCAGAUUAGGUAGUUGGUGGGGUAAAGGCCUACCAAGCCUGCGAUCUGUAGCUGGUCUGAGAGGACGACCAGCCACACUGGGACUGAGACACGGCCCAGACUCCUACGGGAGGCAGCAGUGGGGAAUUUUGGACAAUGGGCGCAAGCCUGAUCCAGCCAUUCCGCGUGCAGGAUGAAGGCCCUCGGGUUGUAAACUGCUUUUGUACGGAACGAAAAGGUGGCCUCUAAUACGGGUUGCUGAUGACGGUACCGUAAGAAUAAGCACCGGCUAACUACGUGCCAGCCGCCGCAGUAAAAC